AUUUUAUGUAUAUGUGUGUAUAGGGGUGCCUCUAGAUGCCAGAAGUGGACAUUCUGAAUCCCUUGGAGCUGAAAUUAUUGGUAUUUUUGAGCUGCCAGGUCUAAGAGUGUCUCGAGUUCCAGUACCUCUAGCAGUGACAGUUCGGCCAGUGAAUCUUCAUCAGAGAGUGAGACAUCUGCCUCCUCCUCUUCAGAGGACAGUGACUCAGAUGAAAGCCUGUCUAGCUCCUCCUCCUCAGCCUAUUCCUCUUCCUCCUCAUCCUCAUCCUCUGACUCGGACUCAGACUCCAGCUCCUCCAGCAGUAGCAGCAGCACCGAGAGCAGCUCUGAAGAUGAGCCACCGAAGAAGAGGAAAAAGAAAUAGAACUCUCUGUACACCAGAACAAUGGAUCCAAAGCAUCUGUGACUCCCAGGGGAAUUGAAAAUUGUUCAAGCAAGCAAGUUAGCUGGUCAGCCUUGUUAAAAUCCAGAGCUUUCUAAGUAUUCGCCAUUGUAUAGGAUAUUUAAAAAAGAUGUUAUAUAUAUAUAUAUAUACACACACACACACACACACACAUACAUAAAGAUGUUUAUUUUAGGAAUGAAUAUUGGAUUUUUGCUGUUGGUUUUCUUUUUGUAAAGACUGGGUCUCAUUUUUUUGUAGGUCUGGCUGGCAGUGAACUUGAUAUGUAGAGCAGGCUGGCCUUCAUUUCAGAAAGAUCUACCUGUCUCCACUUCUUCUAAUGUUGAGACUAAAGAAAAGUGUUACCAUGCUUAGCUUUUAUUGUUAACAUUUUUUUUAAAAAUAUUUGAAGUCUAUCUGUAGUGCAUAAUCAAAGCUGAAAACCAGGAACUCUAUUUCAGUGACAGACAAAAGUCAUUUUUUUCCUGCCUAUGAAAUGAAUGCUUUAUGUGUGUGUAUGUUAAAGUGUGUAUGGGACAGUCUUUGAUGAGACUGCAUCAGAAUAUCAAGAAGUUUCUUGUGCUUUUUGGGCUGUGUCUAUUAUGUGAGAUUUAAUGCGUUAUCAUAGUUUUCCUACUGUUAAUAAAUGUGCUCUAUUUUUAUGUUUGUAUCAAAAAUUAUUCUGAUUUUUUUCUAUCCUGAAUAUGUAAAUUCAAAGAACCUAAUACAGUACAUUGAAAUGAUGUAA